UCCGACUUCCGGCCCGGCGCCACGGCAAAAUCCCGGCUUCUAGCCCAGUGUCAUCGCAGAAGCCGCUGGUUUCUGGUGCCAGUAUCACCGCGGAAGCCGCCCCCGCUGACUUUCGGCCCGCUGUCACCAUAAAAGUGGCUUAAAAAAGAGAAAAAAGGACUAAAAUGUUUGUAAUACAGCAUCAGCAGCUGUUGGAGGCUGCAGAGAAUACAGGCAGAACCGGGGAGCUAUUCGCUAUUUUUAAGCCAUCUGAAAAAAUAUAAAAGCAUUGCUUGUAAAGUUUGCAGGCCAAGGCGAUGGCACAUAGCUAGCAGCACCAUAAUGUCCCCUUGAACCUGGAGUUGCCCUUGACGAGCCAGUCAUUGGGGUAGAACUAGAUACCCCGAUGUCCGAGGGCAUGCCUGUUGAAAGGAGGUCUUGUGCUGACUGCUGGCCUUCCGAAGAAACACCAGAGAGGAGCAGCCAUGAAGCCCUGAGCAACGAGAUGGCCAAUGCCAUGGUACAGGUGGCAGUGUCUGCAGCGUCUGAUGCUGCCUGGAGAGCUGUUCUGGCAGCAGUCAAGCCUUUGUCCAGGAUUGCCCAGAACUCCUUCCUAGAAGCCUCAGGAAGGGCACUCUUGAACUCAGUCAAAGCCUGCCACAUAAUAAAAUCAUAGCGGCCUAGUAAGACCUG